GUUGGUCCGUCUCCCAAAUUCCGGCGACGCCCACACCCCUAGCUCGCCGUGCUUCCCUGCCCCCCUCUCCGCACGGCCAGCUGGUGGCGCACGGGAACCAUCACUAACCAUGUAUGGAGGGCACAAGGCGGCAGCGGCCACCUCUAGCCUGAGGCCCGAAAGGAACGCCCGGAGACAUGCAGCCAUGGAGCUAAGCAUCGCCAGCCUCAUGAGCCCGCGCAGCCUGCGGGAGCCCCAUGCCCGGAAGCGACGGAAGUGCUUCUGGAUCAUGCGUGCCUCUCAGACAGCCGGCGUGCGUGACGUGGCAGCAGCGAGGGCGGGUCUUCCUUGUGCGCGUGCGUGUGGUGGUGAAUGUGAGGGUUGGACUGCUGAGGCUGCAGCGACCUCGAGCACGACUACGCGGCGCAAGAUUUAGUGGAGCAGGAGCUGGCCGUGGUCGGGCAGGUUCGGGGCGCAGGCGCAGCGGCGCAGGUGCUCGGGAAACCACGCGCGUGAUAGAAGGUACUGUUCUACACGCACAUGCGCGCUCGCUGCCUCUUCAGGGUCAAGCAAUUGCAGCUGAGUCUGCGGCUUGGUGCCUUGCAAUAGUAGUAUGUAAUGUUUAUUUCUUUGCCACUAAUUCUAGGAAUCAGAAGUAGCUUAAUUGCAUUAUUAGCACAGUUGAAAAAAAAAACAGACAGGGGUACAGAGUACCAUAUAUCAUCAUCUUUUAUUGUGUUUUUUCCAGCAGCACCUGUCUUGCCGAGCCAGUCGCAUAAUCUUGCAGUUGCAGGGCCGAGCUGCUCCCGAGUGUGGUUUUGUGUAGCUCAAGUUACAUGGUACCCCUUAUCUUAACCAUUCAUUUUUGCAUCAUGAUCCGUGCAGGCAUAUUUGUCAUUUUUGUUUCUCUCAAACGAAACAACGUAUAAACUUCAAACUUUGCAUGACAACCAAACAUUUUGAUUACUAUGUGGGAAAAAACUUUCAGAUUUUUUCAUGCAUUUUAAAUGCUAAAAUUUAUUUUUUUAAUCAAAAAAAUCCUCAUUUUGUAUAUUUAUGUUGGUCCAAAAAAUCUGAAAGUUUUUUCACACAUUGAAGUUGUAAAUUUUGUUUGAUCUGCAAAGUUUGAAGUCUAUAUGUUUUUUCAUUUGAAAAAACAAAAAAGAGAAAUAUUUUUGCUGUAAGUUAGUUGAAGAGUAUAGAUCUCAAAGCAAUAUUGAAGGGAUGAAGAUAAGAGGUUUCAUGUAGCCUGAGCUACAGAGAAACUUUACCAGCUGCUCCCUGUCUUUGCUUUUCCUCCAGGACUUCAGGUAAUUUUUGAUAUAUAUAUAUAUAUAUAUAUAUAUAUAUAUAUAUAUAUAUAUAUAUAUAUAUAUAUAUAUAUAUAUAUUCUCUCCCUGUUCUUUUUAUCUAUCGGCCCAUGGAUCUGUUUUGAGUUGCACAUUCCUUUGGCGCAGCAAUGCAUAUAUGAUUCAUGAUUCGUUCAAUAUGGCUAUGUUACAUUUGAUUCAAAUCAAAAUCAGACAUACAUCUGCACAAUGAUUAUUUUAAACACCAUUUGUUUGUUGUAACAGAUAUUGUGGAAGUGAUUUCAGAUGAUAAUUACCUGAUUGAUCCAGUCACUAGGAUGUUCUCCAAAAAAAUUAAUGAGACCGCGAAGUACAGUGUAGUUCAGACCUUUUUGUUCCGUGUACACCAUUUUAAACACCAUAGACUCAUUAUUGCAUCUCCCUUUUUGUUCCUUGUACAAAAACCGAACCUUGAUCUAUAACUAGAGAGGAUGUUUGGCUUCUUACAGUGUAGUUCAGACCUACGUUUAAUAUUUAAUUUAUCUUGGUUUUGCUGUUCUCCUUGCCCUCGCAUCUUCAGCCUCUCGCAGUCUCUACCCUGGUCCAACGCAUUUCCAGUUCAGUUCGCCACUUUGAUUCUUACUUUCCGUGAUGUGAUCUGGAUGUGAUACUUGGAGAAGGACUUGGAUAGUGCCUUAAUUUAAAUAACACACGAUUUAGUGAAGUUCCAUGAUCUUACUUCUCAUCUGAAUUUUAAUUGGUGGUGUAAAGAUCCAAACCAACUCUAGCUUAUUCAGCUGGUAGUGAGGUUUGAUGAUCCUUAAGAUAUCAUGUACGAGUACACACACAAAAAAUGAUGCAUUUUGACAUUUUGUAGAAUUUACUGAUGGUCAAUAUUAUACAGGAUCUAUGACUUGCUUGCUCCUCUUCACAUUUUAUACUUGCUCUUAUUUUGAUUCCGGCCUUAUUGCGUAGAGCAUAACCUGGUUUCUAAUGUUCAAUUCUAACUAGCUGAACUUCGGAUUAGUUGAAUUGGGGGAGCUAUAUGUCUUCGGAUUACUUUAACCUGGUUUCUAAUACUCAUCUCGGGUUUCUUGUUUAGAUUCAGUAAUCAGAUCCAGUUUAAAGUUUCAUUGUCUGCAGAAAAUUUUAUUCAGUGAUCAACGGUUCUCCUCCAACUGAAAUUUCAUGUUUAUGUUUUUUAUUCUAACCCUGUGUCCAUCUCCAGUUUACUCAAGAAACCAAGUAGGUGAUCAUGGAGGAUGACACAAGUACAUGCCAAGUCAGCGUAAAGCUGAGAUGGGAAACCAAAUUGAGCAACUUCAGAAGCGUAAUGCACUAUCCAAGGUAGACCACGAUAGCAGGUAGUCUUGUCAUCUUGCAUCUUUCUUUUUCGAGGAAUUUUGCAUCUUCAUAUAUCUUAUGCAUUGCUUAUAGCUGUGGCACAGAACAUGUAAUGGAAGACUAUUCUUUUUCUUAUUGCAUUUGUAACCUCUGUUUAUUAUACUGUAGAGAAGAGAACAACAUAUUUGAUACUAAUAGUUUCAUUUCCAUAAUGGUUGAAAAAAAACUGUCUGUAGUUUUCAGAUAUCUUGUCGAUGCUAGCCAGGAAGAGCACCAAAAGGAAUGCACUGUACCACUAGAUCACAGAGACCUACCCAGCUGGAGGAUUGACGUCUCAGUUCUAGCUAUAGAAUAUACAAGCAAUGGUACCAUUGUAAACUUGUAGUCUCGCCUACCAUCAUGUAUCUUAAGGAUGUAGCACCCAUGCUUAAACCAUGUAUAACUAUAUCCAUAAAG
rnacentral:lncRNA from 1 species